UCCGGGUGUUUUUCUGAUGUGAAAUUGUU
rnacentral:sRNA from 1 species